rnacentral:lncRNA from 1 species
GUAAUACGUUACAUUCUUAAAAAAUAAACAUUUAAAACUACUAAAUUACCUAACUAAAAAUACUACACUACUAAUAAACUAUAUUACAUAUUAAAAUAUACAACAAUAAUGUCUUAAAACUACGUAUUUACAAGUAUAAAAUCAUCAUCACGCUGAUUGAUUUAAAUAUGUCGCGCCGCGGUAAACAUUCACUCCCAAUAAUGUUCACAUUCGCGAGUGCAUGAAUGAAUGCACGGGUCGAGGCGCUGUGUCAUUGCGCCCAUCACUCACUCGUCCAUUUUAUCUUUGGAGUUGAGUGGAACGCACGUCGUUAAUUAUCGAUCUCUGCUACGGAUCAGAUACCAAUCGAAAUUCGUAAUCGAAUUUAACUGCGUCCCUACGUGUUCCUCAACUUAUUAAAUUACUGUGGUGUUUUAAUUAUGUGUAAUAGUGUACCCCGAAUUGGGGUCCCAAGUCCAGAGUGACUUCUUUUGGCUUCCUGCUUGCCGCCCGCCUGCCGUAUUGCUUCUGGCCGCUUUCCCCGACUCAGCGCCACGCAGAUUCUAGCAGCGCUGAACUCAGCGCCGAUCAGAAAAACGGCGCCUACCACCUCGGCAUCGUCAGGGGAGUACUGUGGCUACAAUCGACUAGCGGAAUCCGAUCUUGACUAGUAAUUUUUUACGAACCACGACUUUUACCCAUCUUACCGGCUGAGCUUCAUGGGAAUAAAUAUUGUCUUACCGUU